GAUGAACGCUGGCGGCGUGCCUAAUACAUGCAAGUCGAGCGAAUGGAUUAAGAGCUUGCUCUUAUGAAGUUAGCGGCGGACGGGUGAGUAACACGUGGGUAACCUGCCCAUAAGACUGGGAUAACUCCGGGAAACCGGGGCUAAUACCGGAUAACAUUUUGAACCGCAUGGUUCGAAAUUGAAAGGCGGCUUCGGCUGUCACUUAUGGAUGGACCCGCGUCGCAUUAGCUAGUUGGUGAGGUAACGGCUCACCAAGGAAACGAUGCGUAGCCGACCUGAAAGGUUGCUCGGCCACACUGGGACUGAGACACGGCCAAGACUCCUACGGGAGGCAGCAGUAGGGAAUCUUCCGCAAUGGACGAAAGUCUGACGGAGCAACGCCGCGUGAGUGAUGAAGGCUUUCGGGUCGUAAAACUCUGUUGUUAGGGAAGAACAAGUGCUAGUUGAAUAAGCUGGCACCUUGACGGUACCUAACCAGAAAGCCACGGCUAACUACGUGCCAGCCGCCGCCGUAA
rnacentral:rRNA from 1 species